AAGCUGCCUGGAGGAGGAAGCACUUUGUGAGGUGACUUUAAUUUGAAAUCAAUAACAAAAUCCUAGGGCCUUGUAAGUGGCUGGAACAUACUCGUUCUCCGAUGGCUACCCCGUGUCGAUGAGCUAUUAUUAAGAAGAAAGAUGAAGCAUCCUGCAAUAUUAGUUUCCGAAUUUGGGUCCUGUCAUUUCGAGCAAACAAUGUUGUGUAAUGAUUAAUGCCAAUAAAAUCCAAGCAUCCCAUUAGGAAUUCGGAGAUCUUUGGAGUAAUCUCAGGUAAUCUUUCACCCACGAGCUUUUUCAUCGAAGGAGGAUACUUGCCGAAGAAAAGUGGAUCCAGGAACCUGUUUCAUCAUUUGUUCUGUUAAAAACAUGUUCAUGACUUUUGUGUAUCUGGAAUUUGAUUCCUUCUGAUUAAUAUAUUUACCAUCCGAUUGUGAAGUCCAUUGCUCUAUGCGCCGCAUCUUUGUCCUCGUCAGCAUCUGAUAUUGGCUCAUACCACUUGGAAUCUAAUGCUAUUCCAAUCUGACCUCCUUGUUUUGCCUGCAAGAAGGAACAAUCCGGAAUCCGUUUUAUAUUCCAAUAUUUCUUGCAGCUAUGUUCUUGGGGUUUUUCUCUA